rnacentral:lncRNA from 1 species
CUGACAGUAUUCCUUUCUAAACUCUGAUGUUUGUCUGUAUGCGCUUCCCCAAAAUAAAUAUACAGUCAUAAUAUGGGGGAGAGGGGUACAUGUGUGUUUGAAGACUUGAACUGCAUUAAAAAAAAAAAAAAAAAAAAAAAAGAUUUCCAUCUGUAGACCAGUAGUCAGAAUCCUCAGGGCAAAAAUGAUACAGUUUUCCUUAGACACUGUGAGAGACUGACUCUAUUUCGCCUGGAAUCUGUGAACAGUCACCAGACCAGAGAGCAUAAAAAGAAACAUUAAAAUGUGCACCCUUAAUGGCACUGGGCAUACAGUUGGCAGAGGGGAGAUUGCUAAUGAAUUUUACAAAAAUUUCAAAUUCUUUAAAUUAAAUCAUUUUUUGUUCCAGGUAUGGCAUGCAGCUUUUCUGCAUCCUGCAACACUAAGCUAUGGAAACAUGCUUUGUUCACAGUCAACUAUGAUUUUAUCUUGAAGAAAGACUUGCAAAGAUGUCAUCUUCAGUCCAAAGUAAAAAAAAUAUUCUCAUUCACAUUCAACUUGUGGCAUAAAUCAGGCUAGUCCUUGCCUAUUCCUACUACAAGGGUAAGUGACUAAAACUUGUCUAUAUUAAACCCUCGUCACCUUAGAUUAAUACGUGUUCAUUCACUUGAUUUUGAAGCAGAGUUGAUUAUAACCAAGGCUUUCUAUGAGUUAAAAAUGUUGGAUUAAAAUUAAAUUUUCAGGUUUCAGCAGCACCUACUUUGAAGAAGGAUGACUUUAUGUGAUUUUUUAGCGUUCAAAAAGUAGGUGAGUUGAUCUAUAAAGAAAUGCGCUGCUAUUUAAAUAUAGAAGAAGAGAAAGAAAAGAUUAUCCUUUGAUUGAAUCUCAGUUCAUUCUGGAUUUAUUUCUUCAUCUGUUUCGUGGUAUAUUUACC